CUGACUUCAAGUUGGUGUUGUGGCCUGAGUCCAUAAGUGCACACACCCAGAGCUAAGUCUUACCAGUCUUUAAGUCACAUGGUUUCUUCUGGGCUACAGAGACCGGGGAUGGGGGUGAUGGUGGAUUCUGAGGUGGCAGGAAGGGCAUCGGGAGAGGCACGGAAGGUUCUGUACAGAAGGGCGGAGUGCCAGCCCCAGAGAGCAGGUAGAGCUGGGAGGCCGUCUUCCCACUCACAUCAUUUUGCUCUUGGGGACUGGACACAUUUGGGACAGCACCAUUAUCUACAGGAACAAGAAGGCUCACGGAGGAGUCUGUCUGUCUGCAUACUGGGAGUCUGUCCUCCAUGACGGUGUCCAGAAGUUCCCCUGCAAGAGCACAUACAAGGAUCCUACAGGUCAACAGGAAGGAGCUCCCAGUAAACCAGGGUUCUUGAUGAGCCAGAGGGGUCUCUCCUUCUUCUUGUGGAUCUGGGUGGUGUCUCUGUUCUCUGUGGCUCCUCUCAUACAGCAGACCCUGACGUCUUGAAGGGCAUUUGCUUUCUGAGGUCCCGGUGGCAGCGAUCCAGCCCGCUGCUUCCUAAAAGCCAGCACAGAUCCAGGUCAGUGCAUCCUGGGCAGCUAAAUGCUGGACAAACGACACUGUGUUCACAUGGGCCACAGAGACAGGACUACCUGCUGCUGGUCCACAGUGGCCAACAGGUGUGAACUCAUGUCGUAGACAUAACCUUGCCUCUCAGGUUUGGCUCUGAUAAGGUUGCUGAGUCCCUGGCUGUCUCCUAGCUGUCUACUGAAACAGUUUCACCUUAUCUCUUGGAGUGUAAGCUCCCCGUUGCCUCACAGACUCAUUUGCAGAGCCUGGGCAUAGAGCGGGAGGCAGUGUUUGCCUCCUUAUCUGGUCUCCACAGCAUCCCUCAGCUUGGGGUGUCAGCUCCUGUGUGUAGGUUGCAGCUAACAAGAACCAAAGUUCAGGCUUCCUGCAAAGAUGAAGACACAGUCUUUACCACACAGAAGAUGACUUCUGAAAUCAGUCAACAUGCCAAGUCAAGAUCAACCACAUUCUCAGAGGGACUUGUAGAAAGUAGAAACCCAACAGCUGUUACUGUCUCAGAUAUGGUUUCUGAUGAGGGAAGGACAUGGAGUAAGACUGGCCAAUGACAUGUUGGGGUGAGGAUGAGGGCGGGCUUCGGAAAAGCCCCAGAGCAGAA
rnacentral:lncRNA from 1 species